rnacentral:rRNA from 1 species
AGGACGAACGCUGGCGGCGUGCUUAACACAUGCAAGUCGAGCGGAAAGGCCCUUCGGGGUACUCGAGCGGCGAACGGGUGAGUAACACGUGAGCAACCUGCCCCUGGCUCUGGGAUAGCUCCGGGAAACCGGGAUUAAUACCGGAUAUGACCCCCUUCUGCAUGGUGGGGGGUGGAAAGUUUUUCGGCUGGGGAUGGGCUCGCGGCCUAUCAGCUUGUUGGUGGGGUGAUGGCCUACCAAGGCGACGACGGGUA